rnacentral:rRNA from 1 species
UCAGUCGACUCCUACGGGGAGGCAGCAGUGGGGGAAUUUUGGGACAAUGGGCGCAAGCCUGAUCCAGCAAUGCCGCGUGAGUGAAGAAGGACCUUCGGGUUGUAAAGCUCUUUGUCAGGGAAGAAACGGUGGGAGCUAAUAUCUCCUGCUAAUGACGGUACCUGAAGAUAAGCACCGGCUAACUACGUGCCAGCAGCCGCGGUAAUACGUAGGGUGCAAGCGUUAAUCGGAAUUACUGGGCGUAAAGCGUGCGCAGGCGGUUUUUGUAAGUCUGAUGUGAAAUCCCCGGGCUCAACCUGGGAAUUGCAUUGGAGACUGCAAGGCUAGAAUCUGGCAGAGGGGGGUAGAAUUCCACGUGUAGCAGUGAAAUGCGUAGAUAUGUGGAGGAACACCGAUGGCGAAGGCAGCCCCCUGGGUCAAGAUUGACGCUCAUGCACGAAAGCGUGGGGAGCAAACAGGAUUAGAUACCCUCGGUAG